rnacentral:rRNA from 1 species
AAGGUGGGAUGACGUCAAGUCAGCAUGGCCUUUAUAUCCUGGGCUACACACACGCUACAAUGGGAAGGGACAAUAGGUUGCGAAGCCGCGAGGCGGAGCCAAUCCAGCAAAACUUCCCUCAGUUCAGAUUGCAGGCUGCAACUCGCCUGCAUGAAGUUGGAGUUGCUAGUAAACGCAGGUCAGCCAUACUGCGUUGAAUACGUUCCCGGGGCUU